rnacentral:rRNA from 1 species
UACGUAGGGGGCAAGCGUUGUCCGGAAUCAUUGGGCGUAAAGAGCGCGUAGGCGGCCCUGUAAGUCCGCUGUGAAAGUCAAGGGCUCAACCCUUGAAUGCCGGUGGAUACUGCAGGGCUAGAGUCCGGAAGAGGCGAGUGGAAUUCCUGGUGUAGCGGUGAAAUGCGCAGAUAUCAGGAGGAACACCGGAGCGGAAGGCGGACUCUGGGCCGUACUUGACUGCGCUGAGGAGCGAAAGCGUGGGGAGCGAACAGG